GCCAGGUGUGGUGACGCACACCUGUAAUCCCAGCUACUCGGGAGGCUGAGGCAGUAGAAUUGCUUGAACCCAGGAGGCGGAGUUGCAGUGAGCUGAGAUCGCGCCACUGCACUCCAGCCCUGGGCGACAAAGCAAGACUCCGUCUCAA
rnacentral:sRNA from 1 species